UAGAGUUUGAUCCUGGCUCAGGACGAACGCUGGCGGCGUGCUUAACACAUGCAAGUCGAACGGAGUUUAGAUGGAAGCUUGCGAAAUCUAAACUUAGUGGCGAACGGGUGAGUAACGCGUGGAUAACCUGCCCAAGAGACUGGGAUAACGCCGGGAAACUGGUGCUAAUACCGGAUAUACUCUUAAAGGCGCAUGCCUUUUAAGAGGAAAAGGGAAACCUGCUCAUGGAUGGAUCCGCGUCCCAUUAGCUUGUUGGCGGUGUAACGGACCACCAAGGCGACGAUGGGUAGCCGGCCUGAGAGGGCGACCGGCCACACUGGGACUGAGACACGGCCCAGACUCCUACGGGAGGCAGCAGUGGGGAAUCUUCCGCAAUGGGCGAAAGCCUGACGGAGCAACGCCGCGUGAGUGAAGAAGGCCUUCGGGUCGUAAAGCUCUGUGACCAGGGAAGAAAAAAAUGACGGUACCUGGAGAGGAAGCCCCGGCUAACUACGUGCCAGCAGCCGCGGUAAAACGUAGGGGGCAAGCGUUGUCCGGAAUUACUGGGCGUAAAGGGCGUGUAGGUGGCCCGUGAAGUCGAGAGUGAAAACCGAGGGCUUAACCUUCGGCCUGCUUUCGAAACCAGCGGGCUUGAGUGCAGUAGAGGGAAGUGGAAUUCCCAGUGUAGCGGUGAAAUGCGUAGAUAUUGGGAGGAACACCAGUGGCGAAAGCGGCUUCCUGGCCUGCAACUGACACUGAGGCGCGAAAGCGUGGGGAGCAAACAGGAUUAGAUACCCUGGUAGUCCACGCCGUAAACGAUGGGUGCUAAGUGGUUGGGGGUAUCGACCCCCCCAGUGCUGUAGUUAACGCAAUAAGCACCCCGCCUGG
rnacentral:rRNA from 1 species